rnacentral:rRNA from 1 species
GAUGAACGCUGGCGGCGUGCCUAAUACAUGCAAGUCGAGCGAACAGACGAGGAGCUUGCUCCUCUGACGUUAGCGGCGGACGGGAGAGUAACAUGUGGAUAACCUACCUAUAAGACUGGGAUAACUUCGGGAAACCGGAGCUAAUACCGGAUAAUAUAUUGAACCGCAUGGUUCAAUAGUGAAAGACGGUUUUGCUGUCACUUAUAGAUGGAUCCGCGCCGCAUUAGCUAGUUGGUAAGGUAACGGCUUACCAAGGCAACGAUGCGUAGCCGACCUGAGAGGGUGAUCGGCCACACUGGAGCUGAGACACGGUCCAGACUCCUACGAGAGGCAGCAGUAGGGAAUCUUCCGCAAUGGGCGAGAGCCUGACGGAGCAACGCCGCGUGAGUGAUGAAGGUCUUCGGAUCGUAAAACUCUGUUAUUAGGGAAGAACAAAUGUGUAAGUAACUAUGCACGUCUUGACGGUACCUGAUCAGAAAGCCACGGCUAACUACGUG